GAAAUGUUCAUGGCCUGGUUGGAUGGGGCAUUGAGAAACCUGGUCUGGUAGAAGGUGUCCCUGUCCAUGGCAGGGAUUUGAAAUGAAAA